ACUAUAAUUUUGCUCAUACAUUAAACACCCCCAAAAAAAAUCUUCUUCCUUUCUUAUGUACUCUCUCUCUCUUUUCUUUAUAUUUUUAAGUUCAUAAUAAUUAUUUUUUUUAUUUUUCAAAAAUACAUGUCAAUGCAUUUAGUUUGGAAAUCGUUUUCGAUAUUCGAUAAUCAUAUUGAAACAUGAUUAAAUUUGAAAAACGAGCCAGAUCAAACCGCUAAACAAGGUUUUUUUUUCCAGCGUUGACGACAUGAACAGGAAGAGGGGAAGGAGGAUUGUUUGGUUUCGCCAUGGAUGAUGAUGAAGAAGGUGAAGGUUUGAGUGAUGGUGGUGAUGGUGAGAGUUGUUGAGGGUUUAAAGGCUUGUGCGUUUGAGGAUCGAUCCCUUGACUUAUCAAUUUCUUACUCAGAAAAAAAGAGAGGAAAAAGUUACCGAUUCCCUAAAAGGCGGUGAAGGCGGAGGAUGAGAUCUUCUUCAUCGGGAGCAAUCUGGCCACGUUUAACAGAAGGUCGGAGAUAAUUCAUCCAUCGGAGACGACAGCUUUUUCCGCAUCGGAGAAGACCAGCCCGUUUAGGUAAAGUCCGCCACCGUCCUUCGCCUUCUUUGUUGAUGUAAUUAGAUAAUAACUCGUCUUCUUCCGGCGUCCAUGGCCCUCUUUUCAACCCUACUUUGCUGCAACACGGCGUCGUCUUGGUUCCAACGUUGUCUUUUUUCGUAGGGUUUCUCAUGGUUUUUUUUUUUUUUUUUUUUAGCUUAGAGAGAUAACUAUUUUGAUGAUCGGCGAUUUGAUAUCAGCAAUAGCUUCUAUUUCUUUUUUGUCAUUUAAUUUUUCUUACACUGUUUUGGAAGUACUGUCGUGGCUGUUUGGAUUUUGAAUCUUCACUUGCUUACCAUUUAUUGUGAAA